AAAAGAUGAGCAUGCGUCCCAUUAGCUAGUUGGUAAGGUAACGGCUUACCAAGGCUACGAUGGGUAGGGGUCCUGAGAGGGAGAUCCCCCACACUGGUACUGAGACACGGACCAGACUCCUACGGGAGGCAGCAGUGAGGAAUAUUGGACAAUGGGCGCAAGCCUGAUCCAGCCAUGCCGCGUGCAGGAUGACGGUCCUAUGGAUUGUAAACUGCUUUUGUACGAGAAGAAACACUCCAACGUGUUGGAGCUUGACGGUAUCGUAAGAAUAAGGAUCGGCUAACUCCGUGCCAGCAGCCGCGGUAAUACGGAGGAUCCAAGCGUUAUCCGGAAUCAUUGGGUUUAAAGGGUCCGUAGGCGGUUUAGUAAGUCAGUGGUGAAAGCCCAUCGCUCAACGGUGGAACGGCCAUUGAUACUGCUGAACUUGAAUUAUUAGGAAGUAACUAGAAUAUGUAGUGUAGCGGUGAAAUGCUUAGAGAUUACAUGGAAUACCAAUUGCGAAGGCAG
rnacentral:rRNA from 1 species